ACGCUCGACACCUAGAGGCAGCAGUCGGGAAUAUUGCGCAAUGGAGGAAACUCUGACGCAGUGACGCCGCGUAUAGGAAGAAGGUUUUCGGAUUGUAAACUAUUGUCGUUAGGGAAGAAAAAAGACAGUACCUAAGGAGGAAGCUCCGGCUAACUACGUGCCGACAGCCGCGGUAAUCUGAGCGGGCUGGCAAGGC
rnacentral:rRNA from 1 species